rnacentral:rRNA from 1 species
UACGUAGGGCGCAAGCGUUGUCCGGAAUUAUUGGGCGUAAAGAGCUCGUAGGCGGUUUGUCACGUCUGCUGUGAAACUCGGGGCUUAACCCCGAGCUUGCAGUGGAUACGGGCAGACUAGAGGUAGGUAGGGGAGAAUGGAAUUCCCGGUGUAGCGGUGAAAUGCGUAGAUAUCAGGAGGAAUACCUAUGGCGAAAGCAGGUAUCUGGGCCAUCACUGACGCUGAGCUGCGAAAGCUAGGGGAGCAAACAGG